rnacentral:rRNA from 1 species
CGUACACUCCUGCGGGAGGCAGCAGUGGGGAAUAUUGGACAAUGGGCGCAAGCCUGAUCCAGCCAUGCCGCGUGAGUGAUGAAGGCCCUAGGGUUGUAAAGCUCUUUCACCGGAGAAGAUAAUGACGGUAUCCGGAGAAGAAGCCCCGGCUAACUUCGUGCCAGCAGCCGCGGUAAUACGAAGGGGGCUAGCGUUGUUCGGAAUUACUGGGCGUAAAGCGCACGUAGGCGGAUCGAUCAGUCAGGGGUGAAAUCCCAGGGCUCAACCCUGGAACUGCCUUUGAUACUGUCGAUCUGGAGUAUGGAAGAGGUGAGUGGAAUUCCGAGUGUAGAGGUGAAAUUCGUAGAUAUUCGGAGGAACACCAGUGGCGAAGGCGGCUCACUGGUCCAUUACUGACGCUGAGGUGCGAAAGCGUGGGGAGCAAACAGGAUUAGAAACCCCUGUAGUCCCAUG